GCCUCAGUGGUGUAGUGGUAGAGCACGCGUCCCCCGAUAGGCAUGGGUUCGAUUCCCGGCUGAGGUC